UACGUAGGCAGCAAGCGUUGUUCGGAGUUACUGGGCGUAAAGGGUGUGUAGGCGGUCCGAUGCGUCGUGCGUGAAAGACCCCGGCUCAACUGGGGAGGGUCGUGCGAUACGGUCGGACUCGAGGCCAGUAGGGGGACGCGGAAUUCCGGGUGUAGUGGUGGAAUGCGUAGAGAUCCGGAGGAACACCAGCGGCGAAGGCGGCGUCCUGGACUGGUACUGACGCUCAGGAGCGAAAGCGUGGGGAGCGAUCCGG
rnacentral:rRNA from 1 species